rnacentral:lncRNA from 1 species
GCUAAUCAAUCAACCUUAUGCAAAAUAGACAAAGAAAAAUCUUUGAAAUACCUGUUUACUAAAAAGAGAAGAUAUUACAACUAUCAUAUAGUAUGUGUACAAAUUAUAUCAAAUCAAGAAAAACAAAAGAUAUGGAUGGCUCAUUCAUCUUAAUCCCCUCUUCAAUUCCUAAACUAAUUCGUAAAUUAAUUUUAAUAUUUAUCUAACUAUGCAAAACUACAACAUGAUUUUUACACUUAGUUAUCCCUACCUCACCUACAAGUCUAAGGACCUAAAAGUGAAAAUUGAAUUCUCAGCACCAAGGAAUCCAAGGUGGCCUUAGACACAAUAAAUCAGGUUUUUUUUUUUCUGAAAUAACAAUAAAUCAGGUUAUACCUACAAAUAGCAAGAUUAAUACAAAAAUUAUAACUAAGAAUUUUUUAAAAAAAUAACAAGUAUAGUAGUAUCAUUAAGUAUAGACACCUAGGGAUUGCAAGAAUUAACUAAGAAUUAAAUGAGAAAUGAGCCACCUCCUUUUAAAAAUAAAUAAAUGAGAAAUGAGUCACCUGUGACCCGAGUAUCAUCUGACAGAUUCCUCUCACAAGGAAAAUAGCUUUUUCAGCAACCCUUAAAGUCCAGAAUCAUAUCUUUUAUAUGUCAAAUAUUCAACAGCAUGAACAACCUAAAUAAAUGUGAUUUGUACAUUCAAAAUCCGAUUUUCUGCUCUUUCCCCAGCCCCAGAAACUCUCACCUUGAGAAUGGUUUCAGCUACUGAAUAAAUUCAAACUGGUUGACCUCAUUCAACAAUAUUAGACACAAGAAACAUUGUUCAUAUCCUUAUAAAACUUAUUUCCUAAUGGGAAAAAGACACCAUGCAACAAUUAUGACACUUAUGAACUGUAGACGCCAAAAUGUAAAAUGGAGGUAAACUGAGAAUUUUUUUCAGGAAAUAGUGUUGGAAACCUGAGAAAGUAGGCUUCAGGCAUGCUUGAAGAGUUUCAUGCUAAGCCAGUGAAAGUAUACAGAAAUUACAAGAACAGGAAGGGUCAAUGGCACUAGCAAACUGUAGUAUCUGCAAUAAGAGAAAAACCCAAUGAGAAAAGCAAAUGGAGAACAUGAACAAUAAAGCGAAUCA